rnacentral:rRNA from 1 species
GACGAACCGUGCGAACGUUGUUCGGAUUUACUGGGCGUAAAGCGCACGUAGGCGGAUCGUUAAGUCGGGGGUGAAAUCCUGGAGCUCAACUCCAGAACUGCCUUCGAUACUGGCGAUCUUGAGUCCGGAAGAGGUGAGUGGAACUCCUAGUGUAGAGGUGGAAUUCGUAGAUAUUAGGAAGAACACCAGUGGCGAAGGCGGCUCACUGGUCCGGUACUGGACGCUGAGGUGCGAAAGCGUGGGGAGCAAACAGGG